UAGGUGUACUCCCCAACUAGAUCACUCUU
rnacentral:piRNA from 1 species